UUGACUUUUUAUUCAGUUCAGUUUCUGAGGAAAGUCCAUUCUCAAAAGUAAAAGAGCGCAUCGAUACGAGUUCGUGGAUAUGUGUUACGUAAAAAUUGAAGUUUGUAUAAAAAGAUACAGUCUACUAAAAUUUAAAUUUUUCGUCGGAGUUCGGGGACAAAAUUGACUUUUCAGUCAAUGCUUUAAAUAAGGGACCCCCUAGCUGUUUAACAACCCCCGGGGGGGAUAACCCCUCAUUUUCUCGACCAAAGACUGUUGGACUGGUCGGAAAAUGACCUGCUCUUCACGGCCACCAUAAGCUCCGAUUCGCACUAGAGAACAAGUUUUGAAGCUAAAACGGCAGCCCGCUGUCGUAACCUCAACCCGCUUCGAUCUCGGGAAUCCGGCCAUUUCAGCCGGAGCCACCACCCAAGAUUUGAAGCCCUCUCCUUCGUGGUUGGAACCCAUAGAGCCACUGGGGUCAAUUCACACGGAGGACGAUGAAUCGAAGUUUGAAAUUCCUAAAGCUUUGCAGUAAAAAGGGGGAAGAGAUAGAUCAGAGAACAAACACAAGACUUGAGCAAUGGAGAGGCACUGAAUCCCUUAAUUUGGUUGAAUGGUGUUGUACUUACUGUUAGCUGGUGCUUGAAGGGUAAAUUACUAACUGCCACACAUAAUAGGCCUUGAAGAUCAAGCCUGUGCAUUUGAAGAAUCAUUUGGCUUUUAAAGUCCACAAGCUCUAUGGAGUAUGGAAAGUUAUAACUUGGUUUAAAGGCUGUUUAUUACAAUUGGAGAUUUUGUAAUGCACACUACCACUUCAAAGUUUUGAUUUAUUCUUGUAGUUGACAAUGGUUGAUGAUUACUUUUCCUUAACUUUAUGGGAAAUCAAGUUUCAU